rnacentral:rRNA from 1 species
UGAGUACGAGAUGCUACGGCAUCGAAGCAGUCUAUGUCAUACUUCCAAGAAAAGCUUGCACUGUCAGAAACAGAUAAUGCCUGUACCAUAACCGACACAGGUGGGUAGGUAGAGUAUACUAAGGGGCGCGAGAUAACUCUCUAAGGAACUCGGCAAAAUGACUCCGUAACUUCGGGAGAAGGAGUGCCUUAUUUUUAAGGUUGCAAUAACAAGAUCCAAGCAACUGUUUACCAAAAACACAGGUCUCCGCUAAGUCGUAAGACGAUGUAUGGGGGCUGACGCCUGCCCAGUGCCAGAAGGUUAAAGAAGUCGGUUAGCAUUCGCGAAGCUGGUAACUGAAGCCCUGGUGAACGGCGGCCGUAACAAUAACGGUCCUAAGGUAGCGAAAUUCCUUGUCGGGUAAGUUCCGACCCGCACGAAAGGCGUAAUGAUUUGGAUACUGUCUCGGAGAGGGGCUCGGUGAAAUAGACUUGUCUGUGAAGAUGCGACUACCUGCACCUGGACAGAAAGACCCUAUGAAGCUUUACUGUAACUUGAAAUUGAAAUUGGACUUUAUUUGCGCAGUAUAGGUGGGAGGCGUUGAAAAUAUUCUUGCGGGAAUAUUGGAGCCAUCAGUGAGAUACCACUCCUGUAAUGUUAGAUUUCUAACUUUAUAUCAUUAUCUGGUUAAAGAACAGUUUCAGGCGGGCAGUUUGACUGGGGCGGUCGCCUCCCAAAUGGUAACGGAGGCGCACAAAGGUUUCCUCUGAACGGGUAGAAAUCGUAUCUAGAGUGUAAAGGCAUAAGGAAGCUUGACUGUGAGACCUACAAGUCGAGCAGGGACGAAAGUCGGUCUUAGUGAUCUGACGGUGCUGAGUGGAAAGGCCGUCACUCAACGGAUAAAAGUUACUCUAGGAUAACAGGCUGAUCUCCCCCAAGAGUUCACAUCGACGGGGAGGUUUGGCACCUCGAUGUCGGCUCAUCGCAUCCUGGGGCGGUAGUACGUCCCAAGGGUUGGGCUGUUCGCCCAUGAAAGCGGUACGCGAGCUGGGUUCAGAACGUCGUGAGACAGUUCGGUCCAUAUCCGGUGUAGGCGUUAGAAUAUUGAGAGGAGCCUUCUUUAGUACGAGAGGACCGAGAAGGACAUACCUCUGGUGUACCAGUUAUCGUGCCAACGGUAAACGCUGGGUAGCUAUGUAUGGAGUGGAUAACCGCUGAAAGCAUCUAAGUGGGAAGCCCACCUCAAGAUAAG